UUUAUAAUUUACAUGACAUUUGGUAAAAAGAUUUUGUAUUAUUAUAAAUAUUAAUUAUCUUGGCCUUACAAUUUUACCUCGAUAAGAAACAUAAUAAAAUUAUACAGUGCAUUGCAUUUAUAUUCUGAAUUAUAAAGUACAAUAAAAGAAACUGUUAUAUUCCCAAUAACACAAUGUCAAUUUUCCAUCUCGUACGAGGUGGAUGGAGAAGUCUAGGAAAUUCUUCGAUUACUUUUCACAAAAAUGUAAGAAAUCUAACAUCAAAAAACCUAUUUUACGCCGAAUUUGGCGAUCCGCUUCAUGUUGUCAGAAUGAAAGAAGUUGAGGUGCCUCCACUUAAAAAUCAAGAAGUUCUUGUAAGGAUGUUAGCAGCACCGGUCAACCCGGCGGAUAUAAAUACUAUUCAAGGCAAAUAUCCAGUCAAAAUUACACUGCCAUCUAUCCCAGGUAAUGAAGGAGUUGGUGUUGUUGAAAGUGUGAGUGAUGGAGUGAAGAACAUUUGUCCUGGAGACAGAGUCAUUAUAGUUAAACCAUUAAAUGGUACUUGGAGGGAUGUGGCCAUUCUGAAUCAGCAAGUAUUGAGAGUUGUUCCUAAAGAACUUGGUCUAGUCGAAGCAGCUACGCUUACUGUUAAUCCUUGUACUGCAUACAGAAUGCUAUCAGACUUUAAAAAUGUUAAAGAUGGUCUUGUGGUUAUACAAAAUGGAGCAAAUAGCGCUUGUGGUCAAAUGGUAAUACAAAUCUGCAAGGCAUGGGGAGUAAAAAAUAUAAAUAUAGUCAGAAACCGUCCUGAAAUCAAUGAAUUGAAGGAGUAUUUAAAAUGUUUAGGUGCAACAUAUGUUCUCACUGAGGAGGAGUUGCGGACAACAACUAUAUUUAAAGAAAAUAAAAUUGAUAGACCAUCAUUGGCAUUGAAUUGUGUUGGUGGGAAAAAUGCUUUAGAAAUGGUAAGACAUUUGCAGAAAUCUGCUGCGGUUGUAACUUAUGGGGCAAUGUCGAGAGAACCUGUGACUAUUCCAAAUGCCUCACUUAUCUUCAAAAACAUAUCCUUCCACGGAUUCUGGAUGACAGCUUGGAAUGAGAAAGCUCCUCAGGAUAAGAAAGAGGAUAUGAUCUGUGAUAUUAUUAGCCUAAUGCUCGAAAAGAAACUUAAUUGCCCUGUUCACAAGAUGGUAAAAUUUGAUGAUUAUAAAACAGCUAUAGGACAAACACUAUCUACAAAAGGUUUUACUGGAUGUAAAUACCUAUUAGAUUUCUCUGCUUAAUAAAAAUUCUGGCAAUUAUUAUUUUAGCAGAGGCUAUUUAUUCAUCGGCUUAACAAAGCUCAACAGUGUAUAUUUUCAUUCGUUAAGUUUCAUAUUGCUACAAAACCGGAAUCUUCAAUAACUUGGCUAUAGUUGGAUUUAUAUAAAUAUGAGGGUACUUGACAAAAUAAUUUGAAAUAAAGUAGUUUAUUAGUAAUUCUUAAUAUGUAAUAUGAUGUAUAAUAAUAUAUUAUGUAUAUUAUGGUAAAGAUAUGCAUGUGAAAACACAACAGGUUGUUAAUGUAGGAACCCAAUUCUUCCCCGUUUGCCAAGUAUCCCUGGAGAUGAAGGUGUUGGUGAUGUCGUAGAAAUUGGUGAACUAGUGUGUGCUGUAGAACCUGGUGAAAGAGUAGUGUUA